CUAUGCUAACUGCUAUGUUUACUAUGCAAACAGGUUUAACCAUUUGCUAACCUAUGCUGCUAUGGUUACUAUUCUAACUGUUAUUUUCCACACUUUAUGGACUUUUAGCUGAGUGGCUAUGCACUGCACCUGUCUAAUGGCAAUGUGCCAGGAUAGAGCAUCCAUAAUGCAGCAAGGAUAAAGAUAAUUUUCACAUGGGUGUAGACCAAAUGGCUUCUCCAGCAGCAGAUGGGACAGAAGUUGGACAUUGAAGACGAGGCUCCUGUUGAUGCACUGGGUGCUGGUGAGGGCCUGGCUAGGGGAGAGCAUUCUGCUAGACAUGCCGAAGUUCAGGGAUGAAGGGGAACUCAGUGCCACAUGUGGGAGCAAUGGAGUUGCACUGUGUGCUGGGGAAAUACUAAAGCAGCUGGCCAGCUACCAGAACUCCAUAAUCUCCCUACUGAGAAGACUGGUGCCCAAGAGAUGCAAACUGAAAGAACCGUAGAGGAGAGAGAAUUCCCAAGGAGGUACUGAUUUCUCUUGGGAUGAGUAUGUGGAAUGGCAAUGCUGACCUGGGAUCAAAUACUAU